CGGACGACGCUGGCGGCGUGCCUAAUACAUGCAAGUAGAACGCUGAAGAGAGGAGCUUGCUCUCUUGGAUGAGUUGCGAACGGGUGAGUAACGCGUAGGUAACCUGCCUUGUAGCGGGGGAUAACUAUUGGAAACGAUAGCUAAUACCGCAUAACAAUGGAUGACACAUGUCAUUUAUUUGAAAGGGGCAAUUGCUCCACUACAAGAUGGACCUGCGUUGUAUUAGCUAGUAGGUGAGGUAAUGGCUCACCUAGGCGACGAUACAUAGCCGACCUGAGAGGGUGAUCGGCCACACUGGGACUGAGACACGGCCCAGACUCCUACGGGAGGCAGCAGUAGAGAAUCUUCGGCAAUGGGGGCAACCCUGACCGAGCAACGCCGCGUGAGUGAAGAAGGUUUUCGGAUCGUAAAGCUCUGUUGUAAGUCAAGAACGGGUGUGAGAGUGGAAAGUUCACACUGUGACGGUAGCUUACCAGAAAGGGACGGCUAACUACGUG
rnacentral:rRNA from 1 species